rnacentral:rRNA from 1 species
UGCGUAGGCGGAUUUUUAAGUCAGUGGUGAAAGCCCGGAGCUCAACUCCGGAACUGCCAUUGAUACUAUUAAUCUUGAAUACAGUUGAGGUGGGCGGAAUGUGUAGUGUAGCGGUGAAAUGCUUAGAUAUUACACAGAACACCGAUUGCGAAGGCAGCUCGCUAAACUGUUAUUGACGCUGAGGCACGAAAGCGUGGGGAGCGAACAGGAUUAGAUACCCGAGUAGUCC